rnacentral:rRNA from 1 species
AUGCAAGUCGAGCGAGAAAGUAUCUUCGGAUAUGAGUAGAGCGGCGGACGGGUGAGUAACGCGUAGGAAUCUACCUAGUAGAAGGGGAUAGCCCGGGGAAACUCGGAUUAAUACCGUAUACCUCCUAAGGGAGAAAGAGGGCCUCUCUUGAAGCUCUCGCUAUUAGAUGAGCCUGCGUAAGAUUAGCUUGUUGGUAAGGUAAUGGCUUACCAAGGCUACGAUCUUUAGCUGGUCUGAGAGGACGAUCAGCCACAUUGGGACUGAGACACGGCCCAGACUCCUACGGGAGGCAGCAGUGGGGAAUAUUGGACAAUGGGCGCAAGCCUGAUCCAGCCAUACCGCGUGUGUGAAGAAGGCCUUCGGGUUGUAAAGCACUUUAAGCAGGGAGAAAAAGCAAUAAGUUAAUACCUUAUUGCCGUGAUGUUACCUGCAGAAUAAGCACCGGCUAAUUCCGUGCCAGCAGCCGCGGUAAUACGGAAGGUGCAAGCGUUAAUCGGAAUUACUGGGCGUAAAGCGCGCGUAGGUGGUUUGUUAAGUUGGAUGUGAAAGCCCUGGGCUCAACCUAGGAACUGCAUCCAAAACUAACUCACUAGAGUACGAUAGAGGGAGGUAGAAUUCAUAGUGUAGCGGUGGAAUGCGUAGAUAUUAUGAAGAAUACCAGUGGCGAAGGCGGCCUCCUGGAUCUGUACUGACACUAAGGUGCGAAAGCGUGGGUAGCGAACAGGAUUAGAUACCCUGGUAGUCCACGCCGUAAACGAUGACAACUAGCUGUUGGGAGACGAUGUCUUUCAGUGGCGCAGCUAACGUUUUAAGUUGUCCGCCUGGGGAGUACGGCCGCAAGGCUAAAACUCAAAUGAAUUGACGGGGACCCGCACAAGCGGUGGAGCAUGUGGUUAAAUUCGAUGCAACGCGAAAAACCUUACCUACUCUUGACAUACUUGGAAGCUCUUGUAAUGAGAGUGUGCCUUUUGGAACCAAGAUACAGGUGCUGCAUGGCUG